rnacentral:rRNA from 1 species
AGAGCGAACGCUGGCGGCAGGCCUAACACAUGCAAGUCGAACGAUAAGCCACCUUCGGGUGGUGGACAGUGGCAGACGGGUGAGUAACGCGUGGGAACGUGCCUUUCGGUUCGGAAUAACCCAGGGAAACUUGGGCUAAUACCGGAUACGCCCUUCGGGGGAAAGAUUCAUUGCCGAAAGAUCGGCCCGCGUCGGAUUAGCUAGUUGGUGGGGUAAUGGCUCACCAAGGCGACGAUCCGUAGCUGGUCUGAGAGGAUGACCAGCCACACUGGGACUGAGACACGGCCCAGACUCCUACGGGAGGCAGCAGUGGGGAAUAUUGGACAAUGGGCGCAAGCCUGAUCCAGCCAUGCCGCGUGGGUGAAGAAGGCCUUAGGGUUGUAAACCCCUUUCAGCGGGGAAGAUAAUGACGGUACCGCAGAAGAAGUCCCGGCUAACUCCGUGCCAGCAGCCGC